GCACACAUGAGGAGACACACAGGCAGGCGUCCACGCCAACAUACCUGGCCUGCAGCUGGCGCGGUGGGCGGGGGCGCUGGUGUGCAACUGGCCGGGAGGCAGGAGCGAACGCCGCGGCCGCUGCCUGGUCCCGGUCCUCACCGGGGUCCACGCAGCCUUGUACCGGGCAGCUCUCCUUCACUACACAGCCUUUUCAAGCUGCGUUUCCUUAGUUUUCGCCGUUCCCGAUCCCGCCCCUCAGUCAGACCGACUGCCGGCCUCAGCUCCGAAGCGCCCAGCCUGUCAGGCGGCCCAGUGUUUCGUCGGUUCGAAUCCUGGGCGCGGACAUGGCACUGCUCGUCAGACCACGCUGAGGCAGCGUCCCACAUGCCACAACUAGAAGGACCCACAACAAAGAAUGCACAACUAUGUACCGGGGGGCUUUGGGGAGAAAAAGGAAAAAAUAAAAAAUCUUUAAAAACGGCA
rnacentral:lncRNA from 1 species